rnacentral:tRNA from 1 species
GGAGGCAUAGCUCAGCUGGUUAGAGCGCACGGUUCACAUCCGUGAGGUCGCGGGUUCGAGUCUCUCUGUCUCCA